AUCACCACAUAAAGUUGAUUCAAAAAAUACAAUGCAAUUUUAACUUCAUUACUUCCAUCUAAGAAAUCUUUAAGUACGCUCAUAUUACUAAGCUUCAUCCACGUCAUCGCUGCCAUCUGGCGAAACAGAGUGAAGACCAAGACCUCCUCUUUUUGCGUUGAAGCCACCCUGGGCCUAAAUCAAAAAGGGCCUUUCGCAUAUGGGCCCAGAAUGAAGGUAAAGACCUGUCUUAUUUUAAAUACAAAAAUCCUUGUGGCAGAAAGAAUGGCAGAGGAUUUCGAAAUGUAAAUAUUAACAACUAAACAUAUACUUAUCAAUAAGUUUAUAUAGAU